UAUUGAUUCCAAUAACAAUCCAGUUUUAAAAGCAUUUAACUGUUGUUUUAAGAGCUCAAUACAUAUCAAGCAAUGGUAGGAUAUGCCUAGUUGUGUUGUGAGUUUUGAUUCAAGAAAUGGCAGAUGCAGAGAACAAUACUCACAAACCUCCGAGAUGGUCCCUUAAUGGAAUGACUGCUCUUGUCACCGGUGGAACUCGCGGAAUAGGGCAUGCCAUAGUGGAGGAGUUAUGUGGGUUUGGUGCCACUGUCCACACUUGUUCCAGAAACCAAACUGAGCUCGAUAGGUGUUUGACAAAAUGGCGCAGUGAGGGGUUUUUGGUUUCUGGGUCUGUCUGUGAUGUGUCAUCUCAACCCCACAGAGAGAAGCUCAUUCAGGAAGUCACUUCCCUCUUCAAUGGCAAGCUUAACAUUUAUGUGAACAAUGUUGGUGUAAACUAUAGGAAACCAACCAUUGAGUACAAUGCUGAAGACUAUUCACAGAUGAUGGCAGUCAAUUUAGACUCUGCUUACCAUCUGUGCCAACUUGCAUAUCCUCUUCUAAAGGCAUCUGGAAUGGGAAGCAUUGUGUUCAUUUCAUCUAUUGCUGGUGUGGUCAGUGUAGGUACUGGAUCCGUCUAUGCAGCAUGUAAAGCCGCAAUCAAUCAGCUUACAAAAUAUAUGGCUUGUGAAUGGGCUAAAGACAACAUAAGGAGCAAUUGUGUUGUUCCUGCCACUACCAAUACACCACUUGUUGAGCAUGUUCCAAAUGUUGUUCCAUGUGCCCAGGUUCGUGGAGAUGAUUUGAAUGGUCAUACGCUCUGUGACGUGGAUCUAAGUGGAUUUUACAAAGUAUAAGUCAUCUUUGCUGAGAUUUCAAAUGCAUUCAUCUUUGGCGGCAAUAAUAGCAUAGAGGUGCCAUUUGCUGAAGGUGCAGCUGAUGCAUUGUGCAUGCAGCGGCUGAAUCCAUGCAUCUAAGGCAUGGCUUCCUCGUGUCAUGCGGAUAUGUGUGGCCCUUUGGCUAACCAUGCCACGUAGCUCUGUCAUUUCCAUAGCUGUCCAUGAGUAUGAGCACAACCACAAGACUAGCUUGAAGAAAUUGGAGCACGUUGGAGUUUGUGACACACCACUUAUUUCUGUAUUUAUCUUAUAUUUUAUGUCGUUUCUGCAUGCACUAGUACUAGUUUAAUGAAACACUUGUGUUGCAAGUUGCAGCAACAUUAAAUAGCUGACAUUCCAUUGCCCUUUGCCGCCUGCCGAGUCAUGUUUACUAACAAGACACGAAUUCGCAUUGCAAUGACACUAAGUUCAACAUGCAAUGAAUAACGUGGAUGUAUUGUUAUUUUCUCUGA